rnacentral:rRNA from 1 species
GACGAACGCUGGCGGCGUGCUUAACACAUGCAAGUCGAACGAUGAAGCCAGCUUGCUGGUGGAUUAGUGGCGGACGGGUGAGUAACACGUGGGUGAUCUGCCCCAAACUUUGGGAUAAGCCUGGGAAACUGGGUCUAAUACCGAAUAUGACCGAUACUCGCCUGGGUGUUGGUGGAAAGCUCCGGCGGUUUGGGAUGGGCCCGCGGCCUAUCAGCUUGUUGGUGGGGUAAUGGCCUACCAAGGCGACGACGGGUAGCCGGCCUGGGAGGGCGACCGGCCACACUGGGACUGAGAUACGGCGCAGACUCCUACGGGAGGCAGCAGUGGGGAAUAGUGCACAAUGGGCGCAAGCCUGAUGCAGCGACGCCGCGUGCGGGAUGACGGCCUUCGGGUUGUAAACCGCUUUCCCCAGGGACGAAGCGAAAGUGACGGUACCUGGAGAAGAAGCACCGGCCAACUACGUG